AAUGGUGAAUUUUUAAGAAUAUAAACUGGCCCAACUAAUGCUCUUCUCAGGAAUGUAGCAACUUGGAAGAAAACCUGGCAUGCCUAAGAUUUCUGGGGAGCAAGGGAUGCAUAUUCUCUUUACCUUACUUUGGCUGUCUACAUGC